rnacentral:rRNA from 1 species
AGUAGCUGCGAGCGAACAGGGAAGAGCCCAGCACCAAAUCCCGCGGGCCUCGCCCGUAGGGAGAUGUGGUGUUAGGGAGGACCCUUACUUGUAUCCCGGAUCGUCGCGGCGAGCCCAAGUUCCCUUGAAUGGGGCCACGGCCCGCAGAGGGUGCCAGGCCCGUAGCGGCCGCCGCGCGUUCCGGGAGGGUCUCUCCUCAGAGUCGGGUUGCUUGAGAGUGCAGCCCCAAGUGGGUGGUAAACUCCAUCUAAGGCUAAAUAUGACCACGAGACCGAUAGCGAACAAGUACCGUGAGGGAAAGUUGAAAAGAACUUUGAAGAGAGAGUUCAAGAGUACGUGAAACCGUUCAGGGGUAAACGGGAGAAAUCCUGAAUUCGAAAGGGAUUGGAUUCAGUUUGUCCGGCCGAGGCCGCCACGCCCCGCCAGAUGUCGUCGGUCGCCCGCGGCGAUUAACCUCGCACGCGGUGUCGUUACCGACAGCCACUCGGCGCACGGGUUGGUUUUGUGUCUCGCUCGCUGGAGGAGUGCACUUCCUCCCUUGUAGAAACGUCGCGACCCGUUGGGUGCCGGUCACAAGGCCCGGGAUGGCAGACCGCGUGUCCCGCCGCACGUUUGUUGCGGUGGGUUCGCGGACUCCUGGUGACCCGGCCGGCUGCUCGACGGUAUGACCAGAGGAGUCGAUCCGCUGCAAUUGGGAAACACUAUGGCAUGUGUAGCGUCCGGCCCGGUGCCGACGCGCGCGGGUUCCGUUGGGAGCAAUUCCGUUGGGCUGAUUGGUGUUGGUGCACGGCCCCGGGCCCGUUUGCGUCGUCGGUUUCUAGCCGGUGUCCUCGGACUGGAUCAGCACUCCCGUCGGCGGCGCCACCUUCGGAUGGUCUCCCGACCCGUCUUGAAACACGGACCAAGGAGUCUAACAUGUGCGCGAGUCAUUGGGUGAGACUAAACCUAAAGGCGCAAUGAAAGUGAAGGCUGCAUUUUUUGGGGCAGCCGAGGGAAGAUGGUUCCUCCGGGUACCCUGGGGAAAAUUUUUUUUCCUAAGGGCCCGGGCCCGCAUUCCCGGGGCGUCUCGUCCUCACUGCGAGGGGAGGCGCACCUAGAGCGUACACGUUGGGACCCGAAAGAUGGUGAACUAUGCCCGGCCAGGAUGAAGUCAGGGGAAACCCUGAUGGAGGUCCGUAGCGAUUCUGACGUGCAAAUCGAUCGUCGGAGCUGGGUAUAGGGGCGAAAGACUAAUCGAACCAUCUAGUAGCUGGUUCCCUCCGAAGUUUCCCUCAGGAUAGCUGUCGCUCGGAGGUAUCAAUGACCAAAGAGUCUCAUACGGUAAAGCGAAUGAUUAGAGGCCUUGGGGCCGAAACGACCUCAACCUAUUCUCAAACUUUAAAUGGGUGAGACCUCCGGCUUGCUUGGCAACUGAAGCCGGAGACGGAUCUUGAGUGACAAGUGGGCCACUUUUGGUAAGCAGAACUGGCGCUGUGGGAUGAACCAAACGCCGAGUUAAGGCGCCUGAAUCGACGCUCAUGGGAAACCAUGAAAGGCGUUGGUUGCUUAAGACAGCAGGACGGUGGCCAUGGAAGUCGGAAUCCGCUAAGGAGUGUGUAACAACUCACCUGCCGAAGCAACUAGCCCUGAAAAUGGAUGGCGCUGAAGCGUCGUGCCUAUACUCGGCCGUCAGCGGCAUUGGGAGUGGUCGCACCCAGGUCUUAUGGCCUGCUGCGGUGCUCGAGGACGCCCUGACGAGUAGGAGGGCGUGGCGGUGAGCGCAGAAGGGCAGUGGCGUGAGCCUGCCUGGAGCCGCCGUUGGUGCAGAUCUUGGUGGUAGUAGCAAAUACUCCAGAGAGGACCUGGAGGACUGACGCGGAGCAGGGUUUCGUGUGAACAGCCGUUGCACACGAGUCAGUCGAUCCUAAGCCCUACGUGAAAGCUGAUGCCGAUGGGUGGUCGUACAGAAGCAAUGGUGGAAAAAACGCAACUGACCUGAUACCCCCGGCGGGCGAAAGGGAAUCCGGUUCCUAUUCCGGAACCCGGCAGCGGAACCGUUCCGAUUCGGGCCCUCGCGAGAGUGUUCGUCGGGGUAACCCAAAAGGACCCGGAGACGCCGUCGGGAGAUCUGGGGAGAGUUUUCUUUUCUGUAUGAGCGUUCGAGUUCCCUGGAAUCCUCUAGAAGGGAGAUAGGGUUUGGGACGCGAAGAGCACCGCAGUUGCGGCGGUGUCCAGAUCUUCCCCUCGGACCUUGAAAAUCCGGGAGAGGGCCACGCGGAGCAUUCGCGCCGGCUCGUACCUAUAUCCGCA